AACCUUUGUCAACUCUGUAUGCGUUUUCUGACUGCCUGUGUAGUCAUCUGACAACUUGAGAAGCAGGAACAAAGCACUGGCAAGGCUGACAAAUCCUGCAGAUGCAGCAAGGAAGCAAAGAAAGCACAAAAGAAGUCUAUAAUGAUCGAAAGCCAAAGGGAAAAGAAAAGGAUCGUGGCCAAAUAGUGUCAAAUACCUGCUCCUCCCAAUAAUUUUAGUAGAGGCUCUCUUGCAAGAUCUGUCAUCAAGCAUAGAAGAUAUUGCUACACCACAACUCCUGACGUAUUUUCUACCUGCUUUGAAAGGAGUACAAUACCACCAUAGUCAGUGAAGCUCUCCACUCCAACUGAUGCACUGUUUGCUAAAACACAAAGACAUCCACCUCAGUGAAGAGGGGGCAAGCCCUCUGGAAAGGAUUUCUGAUAGCAGGAGCUGUGCUGCGUGAAUGCUGGGAAAAAUGAGACUGAAGUAGCAUCCCUGCAUCGCCAUUCUCUAAUAAUCCAUAAAGAGAUUCUGAAUCAAAAAUUAGAUUUGGAGAUAUGGCUGACCUGCUAAUUAGUGACUGCUUUACACUCUAUGGACUCCGCAGUAUCAAGAUGAUUACAGAAAGACAUUACUGAGCCCAGAGCUGAAGACUCCUAUUUCUCCAACUGGUACGCUGAUACAGGAAUGGACCUAACAUUGUAUUGUACCCACCUUCAGAAAACACACAAGGUUAGCAUAGAAUAAGGAGCCAUGGCCUAAAACUUGAACACUGGAAGUUCCGUACAAGCAUGCAGAAGAACUUCCCAGUAAUGGUGACAGAGAACAGGCUGCUCAGAGAGGUGGUAGAAUCUCCUUCUGUGGAGAUAUUCAAGACCCAUCUGGACCCACUCCCCUGUGCAACCUAUUGUAGGGGACCUGCUUUAGCAGGGGGGUUGGACUCAAUCUCUCACGGUCCCUUUUCAACCCUUGCAGGUCUGGGAUUCUGUUAUACUUUCCAUGCAUAGAAGAGACGUGGAAGAUCCUUUUGUGAACCAAUCACGUAUGGAAAUACUCACUAUGCUUGUUAUGAAAAUCUAAAUUUGCUUCGUAAAUGUGUAGAUUUUCUCCAAAAUAUUUUUUACUUUUAAUUAAAAGUCCCUAAAAAUUAUAACCACACAGUAAAGAAAGACCUAGAGAGCUAAAACAGAAUGCAUGUUCUUAAAAGGCAUUAUCACAGCUGCAGUAAAACUGCUUUAAUUUGAUGGAAUCUUCCAUGUUGAUUUAUCUUGCAAAAUAUUAUCACUGAUGAAGAACAGAGAAAUAGCAACAAUCCUAACUCUCAGUAAGUGUGGAAGGAUUCAAAUGAAUAGUUAAAUACUUUUUUUCUAAUACCAAGCUCCUUCUCAUUUACAAACUGCAGUUAAAGCAAAGAGCAUUAGUUAACAGUUCUAAAAAGAUAUCUUCAUUCUCUAUCAAAAACUGUGAAUAUUUGCUGUUAUUUAGAUUAAGAUAACUUUCUCAUUGCUGUAGCAUUGCUGGAUUGCUUCCUGCUUCUAUGUUGCACAAACGUGAUGGCUGGCUUUUAAAAAGCUAUUGAAUAACUGUAAGAACAAAACAAAAGUAAAAAAAAAAAAAUCUACCUAAAACUGGCAUGAAAUUAAACCACUCAAUGUAAAGCUACUAUGACAUUAUAAUUUGUGUUGUAGAGAUCUGUUCACCGAAAUUUCAGCUGCAGUGAACAAGAGCCUCUAGGCUUAUGCAUACAAAGCAGUUGUUGUGUCACCUGUUAAGCUGGUUGUAUUAG
ensembl:lncRNA